GAUGAACGCUGGCGGCGUGCCUAAUACAUGCAAGUCGAGCGAAUGGAUUAAGAGCUUGCUCUUAUGAAGUUAGCGGCGGACGGGUGAGUAACACGUGGGUAACCUGCCCAUAAGACUGGGAUAACUCCGGGAAACCGGGGCUAAUACCGGAUAACAUUUUGAACCGCAUGGUUCGAAAUUGAAAGGCGGCUUCGGCUGUCACUUAGGGAUGGACCCGCGUCGCAUUAGCGAGUUGGUGAGGUAACGGCUCACCAAGGCAACGAUGCGUAGCCGACCUGAGAGGGUGAUCGGCCACACUGGGACUGAGACACGGCCCAGACUCCUACGGGAGGCAGCAGUAGGGAAUCUUCCGCAAUGGACGAAAGUCUGACGGAGCAACGCCGCGUGAGUGAUGAAGGCUUUCGGGUCGUAAAACUCUGUUGUUAGAGAAGAACAAGUGCUAGUUGAAUAAGCUGGCACCUUGACGGUACCUAACCAGAAAGCCACGGCUAACUACGUGCCAGCCGCCGCUGUAA
rnacentral:rRNA from 1 species